UCCAUCGCGAGAUGGAGUCUGAAGGAAGCCGGAGGCAAAAUCCCGGGCUGACGAACAGAAACCGUAUACUGAGGCCGGUACAGGGCGGAUGAGUUUGCAUUACAAAACAAAGUCCAAUGCUACCCGAACCCUUGCUGGUAAAUGCGGCGGCUAUAUGGGAUGAAGGUUAUCGUU
rnacentral:ncRNA from 1 species